UACAGAGACUGCAAGCGUUAUUCGGAUUCACUGGGCGUAAAGGGUGCGCAGGCGGUUGAGUGUGUCAGAUGUGAAAUCCCCGAGGCUCAACCUCGGAACUGCGUCUGAAACUACUCGACUAGAGUACUGGAGAGGGUAACGGAAUUCACGGUGUAGCAGUGAAAUGCGUAGAUAUCGUGAGGAACACCAGAGGCGAAGGCGGUUACCUGGACAGUUACUGACGCUCAGGCACGAAAGCAUGGGGAGCAAAAAGGG
rnacentral:rRNA from 1 species